GGCAGAGUAGCUCAAGUGGUAGAGUGCCUGCCUAGCAAGCAGGAGGCCCUGAGUUCAAGCCCCAGUGCUGCCA